CAAGUUGCGCCCGAUGCCAUCAGGCUAAGGGAACGCCUGCCUGGGCGUCGUGUGCUGCGUCUCUCCUGUCAAUGGUUAUACGUCAUAUAGACAGGUUUGCAUUGCGUGGAUGUGAAAGAUUGGCCCCUUGUGCCUAGGUGCGGUGGGUCUAAGGACUAGUGUUUUGAUGG
rnacentral:rRNA from 1 species